AUUGAACGCUGGCGGCAGGCCUAACACAUGCAAGUCGAACGAGUGGCGGACGGGUGAGUAAUGUCUGGGAAACUGUCUGAUGGAGGGGGAUAACUACUGGAAACGGUAGCUAAUACCGCAUACCAUCAGAUGUGCCCAGAUGGGAUUAGCUUUUUGGUGGGGUAACGGCUCACCAAGGCGACGAUCCCUAGCUGGUCUGAGAGGAUGACCGGCCACACGGGAACUGAGACACGGGCAAGACUCCUACGGGGGGCGGCAGUGGGGAUUAUUGCACAAUGGGCGCAAGCCGGAAGCAGCCAUGCCGCGUGUAUGAAGAAGGCCUUCGGGUUGUAAAGUACUUUCAGCAGGGAGGCGUUACCCACAGAAGAAGCACCGGCUAACUCCGUGCCAGCAGCCGCGGUAAUUC
rnacentral:rRNA from 1 species